rnacentral:ncRNA from 1 species
AAUGGAUUAACGAGAUUCCCAUUGUCCCUAGCUACUAUCCAACGAAACCACAGCCAAGGGAACGGGCAUGGUAAAAAUAGCGGGGAAAGAAGACCCUGCUGAGCUUGGCUCUAGUUUGACAUUGUGAAGAGUCAUGAGAGGUGUAGCAUAGCUAGGAGACAUCGGUCAACAAUGAAAUACCAUCACUUUCAUCGAUUCUUUACUUAUUCGGUGGGAAGAGGAUUGAGCUUCGGCUCUUUUUUCUUUGUCUUAAGCAAAGCCAUCCGGUGGCCUUGCGACUCUCGCCGGAGACAGCGCCGGCGAGGAGUUUGACGGGGGCGCUACAUCUGCCAAAUCGUAACGCAGGUGUCCUAAGGCUAGCUCAGAGAGGACGGAAAUUUUUCGUAGAGCAAAAGGACAAAAGCUUGCUUGAUCUUGACUUUCAAUUCGAGUACAGACCGCGAAAGCGAUCGAUCCAGUUAGUUUCUGGUAAGAGGUGUCAGAAAGGUUACCAUAGGGAUAACUGGCCUGUGGCUGCCAAGCGUCCAUAGCGACGUUGCUUUCUGAUCCUUCAAUGUCUGCUCUUCCUAUCAUUGCGAAGCAG